rnacentral:tRNA from 1 species
GGGUGAUUGGCUCGGCUGGGAGAGCACCUCCUUACUUACAAGGGAGAGUCGGCGGUUCGAUCCCGUCAUCAUACCCACCA